rnacentral:rRNA from 1 species
GCCUACGGGCGGCUGCAGUGAGGAAUAUUGCGCAAUGGGGGCAACCCUGACGCAGCGACGCCGCGUGAGUGAGGAAGGCCUUCGGGUCGUAAAGCUCUGUCAAAGGGAAAGAAAUGUAUAAUGGCUAAUACCUGUUAUAUUUGACGGUACCCUUAAAGGAAGCACCGGCUAACUCCGUGCCAGCAGCCGCGGUAAUACGGAGGGUGCAAGCGUUGUUCGGAAUCACUGGGCGUAAAGGGCGCGCAGGCGGUUUGGUAAGUCAGAUGUGAAAGCCCACGGCUUAACCGUGGAAGUGCAUUUGAUACUGUCAGACUUGAGUACCAGAGGGGAAAGUGGAAUUCCCGGUGUAGAGGUGAAAUUCGUAGAUAUCGGGAGGAAUACCGGUGGCGAAGGCGACUUUCUGGCUGAGUACUGACGCUGAGGCGCGAAAGCGUGGGGAGCAAACAGGAUUAGAUACCCCGGUAGUCCCA